GCCCAUUCUCUAGGACCAUGUCCUUGCUGCUCCCAGCUACCUUUCCUGCUUCUCCUAGGCUCAGACUUGACUGUUUUGGACUUGGGGCUGAGCUCCCUGCUGUGCUGCAGCUCAGGAAAGAUUUUUGGCUACCGCGACUCUUGGGUAUAAGGUAAAAUACCACAGCAUCAAUCUCACCGGCCUUGAGAAAACUGCAGCAGCAAUCUGGCUCCCGUUGGGAAGGCCGAGCCUGGAACGGUGCAGAGUAUUUCCAAGCAGUCAUCUGUUAAUCUUGUCAUCCUGCAUCAGGCUCAUGCUUCUCACACUGCACGUUUCCAAACUGUACUGGCGAGAGAGAAGCGAACCCCU
rnacentral:lncRNA from 1 species